CAUUGAAACGCUGGUUUCCAUACGAUUAUCAAAGUUAAGCAACGUCGAGCCUAAUCAUUACCUAGAUGGGUGACUGCUUGGGAAUACUAGGUGCUGUAAG